rnacentral:rRNA from 1 species
UACGUAGGGUGCGAGCGUUAAUCGGAAUUACUGGGCGUAAAGCGUGCGCAGGCGGUUUGCUAAGACCGAUGUGAAAUCCCCGGGCUUAACCUGGGAACUGCAUUGGUGACUGGCAGGCUAGAGUAUGGCAGAGGGGGGUAGAAUUCCAGGUGUAGCGGUGAAAUGCGUAGAUAUCUGGAGGAACACCGGUGGCGAAGGCGGCAUCCUGGACCGAUAUUGACGCUGAGGCGCGAAAGCCAGGGGAGCAAACGGG